GGUCCCGUCGUCUAGUCCGGUUAGGACGCCUGGUUUUCAUCCAGGUAACAGGGGUUCAAAUCCCCUCGGGACCG
rnacentral:tRNA from 1 species